CAGAAUGUAUCGUUCACCAAAUCGACAAUCGCCCAUCUCUUCUAGUUCGAUUCCUGUCAAUAUAGCAUGAGUGUUGCAUAAUUACACAUAAUCGCGUCACCUUUACUUUAUAGCAUAUUGUUAUUUGGAUAAAAUAUAAGGAUGGCAAAAUGUAUGAGGCUUUAACUGAGAGCGUGCGUCUCCCUACUCGGUCAACGGAAUAAACAUUUGCAGAAUGCUUAAACUAGCCUUUCAAAGGAAAUUGCUGUUUACCAUUAACAGUGAUGGCGCCAUAGUAUAUAAUGGCAUAGAUCCUCGGAGCUCAUCCUACGUAAUGACAAAAAUCGAUUGUACCAAAAUAACCACACAGUUGAAAGAUAAGGGCAUCACGAUGGCUGACAUUGACACCAACGAUAAAUUCUGGGGAACAGUGACGGUGGACUAAUUGGAUAAAACAAUGUGUUAAAUUUGUUGAAAAAGCCUGAACAAUAUUUCAAAAAGCAAUCACAUAUAUACUUUUAUCAGAUAAAAGAACAAUUAAAAAAUGGGUAAAUAUUGAACUUAACCUUUCUAGGGAACAUACAAAGUAAUCAUUUAAAAGAAAGUGGGAAACCUUCGCUGAAAAUGACUUGUAAUGACUUAUUAUAGAGAAGUAUGAGAUGAGACUAAGCAUGAAUGCUUGUCGUGGCUUUGGAUGAGUUUUUGUCGAGUGUAUGGGCUUAAGCGCGUGCUUUAGUACGUCGAAGAUUGUCCGUAAUUCAAUUUCGCCAUUAAAGGGGUCUUUUCACGCUUUGGUAAAUUGACAAAAUUGAAAAAAGUUGUUUCAGAUUCGCAAAUUUUCGUUUUAGUUAUGAUAUUUGUGAGGAAACAGUAAUACUGAACAUUUACCAUGGUCUAAUAUAGCCAUUAUAUGCAUCUUUUGACGAUUUUAAAACCUAAAAAUUAUAAAGCGAAACGAUUGAAUAAUUUGGAGAGUUCUGUUUUUGUCGUUAAAUUUUGUGAAACUACGAAGACUGCUUAUAUAAUGUAUAAAAUACUUCGAGUGUAUGUACUCGGCGGAAUAGCUCAGUAGGCUAAAGCGUUUUUACUUCAGGACUCUGGCAGGACUCCAGGGGUCACUGGUUCGAAACCUGGUCCGGGCAAUGUUCUUUUCCUUUCUUUAAUUUUAUUUUUGAUUUUUUACUGGAGCUUUUACGAUCCAAUGUUUACAUUUAUCGAUAUAAAGCAUUUAAUGAAUAAGUUAAAAAUGCCAAAAUCUGUGAAAAGGCUCCUUUAACCAUGCGAUUUCUAAACAACUUACUUCAAGUGUUAUAAUGAGAUGUUUUAUCGCGUGUAAAACUCUACCUCAAUAAUUAUGGUCACUCUUACAGUUCGAAGGUUAAAUUUGUACCACAGUCAAUGACCAAUUGGCAUGUGCUGUGUGUUGCGCGUAUCAUUUAUUAACCUUCCUCCAAAGUCAAGGUCACUCUGAGAGUUUACGUGUUGAAUUCGGGCAUAGUAUAGCUUUUCCAGACUGAAAAUUCGUCAUUAAAUAUAUAAGCUCACAUCACCAUGUAGUGUUAAGGGGAUCUGUUGGGAUAUGAAUAUGUGUGACAAAGGUCCAAAGUCGUGCCUAUCUUAAGAAUCGUCUACAGAAUUGUCUUUUAAGCUUGAAAGUUUGAGCGCCAUCGAUAGAGAAGUUAACGAAAAGUUGAAAACACAAGCUUCGGGACGCCGAAUUAGAUAAAUGACCAAACUCCUCAAAAACUCCUCACAUCCAAGAUUUCUUUCUUAACGACCAUCUACACGUAAUGGUUAUUCAACGGUGAACAUUUUAGAUUUUUCCACCUGUCAGUUAUAGAGGAGUUGAAACCCGUGCUUCCGGUCGCAAAGACGUAAGAACGGUCGAACGUACGGAAAUUCGUUCGGACGAACGGACAAGUGCAAAACCAAUGCCUCGCACUCAGUGGGACAGAAAUAAAUAACUCAAAAACAUCAAUUGUGCAAUAGUGCUUUAAAUAUGACUGUGUUUCAUAGGGCUGUAACGAUACAUUCGAAUAUUCGAAUACGGCGGUGGACGAACAGUAUUCGUUAUUCGCCACCUCCCGAACCGAAUAUUUGACGAAUACAAACAACGUGGUUUCGAGUUUGAAAGUUUAUGUUUACCCGGUAAUCAUCUUAUCUUACCAUACAAAUGAAUGUUCAUACAAUAAACCCCUAUAUUUAAA